rnacentral:rRNA from 1 species
GACGAACGCUGGCGGCGUGCCUAACACAUGCAAGUCGAGCGGGGAGAGAUUUUCGGAUUUCUCUUUAGCGGCGGACGGGUGAGUAACACGUGGGUAACCUGCCUCAAAGAGGGGGAUAGCCUUCCGAAAGGAAGAUUAAUACCGCAUAAUAUCAGGAAGCUGCAUGGCAUUCUGAUUAAAGGAGCAAUCCGCUUUGAGAUGGACCCGCGGCGCAUUAGCUAGUUGGUGAGGUAACGGCCCACCAAGGCGACGAUGCGUAGCCGACCUGUGAGGGUGAUCGGCCACAUGAGAACUGAGACACGGUCCAGACUCCUACGGGAGGCAGCAGUGGGGAAUAUUGCACAAUGGGGGAAACCCUGAUGCAGCAACGCCGCGUGAGUGAUGAAGGCCUUCGGGUCGUAAAGCUCUUUGAUCAGGGACGAUAAUGACGGUACCUGAAAAGCAAGCCACGGCUAACUACGUGCCAGCCGCCGCAGUAA